rnacentral:sRNA from 1 species
UAAGACCGUACUUUUUAGGAUCAUUUCUAUAGUACGUGUCCCGUCUUUGUUCUCUAACAUAGACAACAUUCACAACCACGAUGAUGAGUGGUAGUGCUUUCUUCUGAGCGGG